rnacentral:tRNA from 1 species
ACGGGUGUAGCUCAGCUGGUAGAGCGGCGGUCUCCAAAACCGUAGGUCGUGGGUUCGAAUCCUUCCUCCCGUGCUA